GAUCGGCGCAUUAAUUAAGGCUCGUUUGUUCGUGGGCUUGGCGCGCGCCAGCAGCAGACAGCGCGAACAGUCACGAAGAAAACGGUAUUAUGUUAUUCAGAACCAUCUCGAGUUGCCCGAGGUCGGUACCAGCAGCUCCGCCAAAGGAAGAUGAUGGAUCGCUGGCAUUAGAUAGUUGUGUUGGGCUUUCAUGAGAACGCCGGUCCACGAGCGGCCGCUACACGAAGCGCGACUUAAUAACGCCAUUGAAGCUUCUGGCUUCCAGGGUCGCGAGAUUCAGAAGAAUUGCAUGGCUGGAGGGAACGAUGGCUAGUUAAGAUCGAUAAGGCAUCGAUUAGAGGUUCAGCUGCUCAUGCUUCAAUGAGCUGGAACAGGGCGUAUUGUCGCCCGUAAAUUACACGAUUUUCUUGCAAUCGUGCCUUAGGGCAUGUAACCAGGCGCCAGAUCGUCCAGGUCCCUGUACACGGCGCCACCUGACGAUCUCUCCGCUAG
rnacentral:misc_RNA from 1 species